AGCCAUGCUGAGAAACUGUUUUGUAUGAAAAGACACUGCUGUGAGGCUUCUUUACUUCUCUGAGGGAAGACAUCAGGGUCCUGAUACUGUAUCGAUUGAAAUCAAGGCACACAGAAUCAGCCACAGAAUUACAGUUUUCAGCAGAUCUCGCUUUCCAGGCAAGAGGUUAUAUCCACAGAAACUGUAGCUUGAUGGACCCUCUUCAAAAUCAAAAAGCUGACAACUUAAACCUAAACUUCAACUUCGGAAGCUAGUGAAUCAUCACUCAAAGAAAAGAAAGGAAAGAGAAUUUGCUAUUUUUCACCAAAGGAUUCGUAUAAAUUUAUCAGCUUCUUAUUCACAAACUAUGCUGUGCAAUGUGAGGUAGGGGCUAAAGCAGAAGAUUGGGAGUCAGGACAGCUGGAUUUGAUUCUUGAAUCAAGUUACUGAGAGAACCAAGACUUUAACUUCUGUGGUCCUCAGUUACCCAUAAUUAAAAUGGGUAUUAUUAUAACAUUUACCUAUGUCAUCGAAAGGC
rnacentral:lncRNA from 1 species